UCUUGCACAAUGGGCGAAAGCCUGAUGCAGCGACGCCGCGUGUGUGAUGAAGGUCUUCGGAUCGUAAAGCACUUUCGACCGGGAAGAAAAAGCCUGUGGCUAACAUCCACGGGCCUUGACGGUACCGGUAGAAGAAGCAACGGCUAACUCUGUGCCAGCAGCCGCGGUAAUACAGAGGUUGCGAGCGUUGUUCGGAAUUAUUGGGCGUAAAGCGCGUGUAGGCGGGAUGGCAAGUCGGGUGUGAAAGCCCUCGGCUCAACCGAGGAAGUGCGCCCGAAACUACUGUUCUUGAGUGCCGGAGAGGGUGGCGGAAUUCCCGGUGUAGAGGUGAAAUUCGUAGAUAUCGGGAGGAACACCAGUGGCGAAGGCGGCCACCUGGACGGACACUGACGCUGAGACGCGAAAGCGUGGGGAGCAAACAGG
rnacentral:rRNA from 1 species